rnacentral:rRNA from 1 species
UACGGAGGGUGCAAGCGUUAUCCGGAUUCACUGGGUUUAAAGGGUGCGUAGGCGGGCAGGUAAGUCAGUGGUGAAAUCUUCGAGCUUAACUCGGAAACUGCCGUUGAUACUAUCUGUCUUGAAUGUUGUGGAGGUGAGCGGAAUAUGUCAUGUAGCGGUGAAAUGCUUAGAUAUGACAUAGAACACCCAUUGCGAAGGCAGCUCACUACGCAACAAUUGACGCUGAGGCACGAAAGCGUGGGGAUCAAACAGG